UACGAAGGGGGCUAGCGUUGCUCGGAAUCACUGGGCGUAAAGGGUGCGUAGGCGGGUUUUUAAGUCAGAGGUGAAAUCCUGGAGCUCAACUCCAGAACUGCCUUUGAUACUGAAAGUCUUGAGUAUGGGAGAGGUGAGUGGAACUGCGAGUGUAGAGGUGAAAUUCGUAGAUAUUCGCAAGAACACCAGUGGCGAAGGCGGCUCACUGGCCCAGUUACUGACGCU
rnacentral:rRNA from 1 species